AUAAAAGUAGCACACUUAUUGGGCAUGUAUUUGUUAUGUGCCAGGUUCUGUGCCAACAGCUUUAAGUGCAUUAUUCCACUUAUUUUCACAACAAGCCUGUGAGGAAGAGGUUAUUUCCACUUAUAGAUAAAGAAACUGAGACUUGGAGAAUGUUCUUACGUCUGUUGCUAGAUUAUCGUCCAAAAGUGUUAAUGCCCAAGUGACUGACAUCAACUCCAAGGGACUGGAAUUGAGGAAGACUGUUACUACAGUUGAGACUCAGAACUUGGAAGACCUGCAUCAUGAUGGCCAAUUCUGCCAUAAGCCCUGUCCUCCAGGUGAAAGGAAAGCUAGGGACUGCACAGUCAAUGGGGAUGAACCAGACUGCGUGCCCUGCCAAGAAGGGAAGGAGUACACAGACAAAGCCCAUUUUUCUUCCAAAUGCAGAAGAUGUAGAUUGUGUGAUGAAGGACAUGGCUUAGAAGUGGAAAUAAACUGCACCCGGACCCAGAAUACCAAGUGCAGAUGUAAACCAAACUUUUUUUGUAACUCUACUGUAUGUGAACACUGUGACCCUUGCACCAAAUGUGAACAUGGAAUCAUCAAGGAAUGCACACUUGCCAGCAACACCAAGUGCAAAGAGGAAGGAUCCAGAUCUAACUUGUGGUGGCUUUGUCUUCUUCUUUUGCCAAUUCCACUAAUUGUUUGGGUGAAGAGAAAGGAAGUACAGAAAACAUGCAGAAAGCACAGAAAGGAAAACCAAGGUUCUCAUGAAUCUCCAACCUUAAAUCCUGAAACAGUGGCAAUAAAUUUAUCUGAUGUUGACUUGAGUAAAUAUAUCACCACUAUUGCUGGAGUCAUGACACUAAGUCAAGUUAAAGGCUUUGUUCGAAAGAAUGGUGUCAAUGAAGCCAAAAUAGAUGAGAUCAAGAAUGACAAUGUCCAAGACACAGCAGAACAGAAAGUUCAACUGCUUCGUAAUUGGCAUCAACUUCAUGGAAAGAAAGAUGCAUAUGACACAUUGAUUAAAGGUCUCAAAAAAGCCAAUCUUUGUACUCUUGCAGAGAAAAUUCAGACUAUCAUCCUCAAGGACAUUACUAGUGACUCAGAAAAUUCAAACUUCAGAAAUGAAAUCCAAAGCUUGGUCUAGAGUGAAAAACAACAAAUUCAGUUCUGAGUAUAUGCAAUUAGUGUUUGAAAAGAUUCUUAAUAGCUGGCUGUAAAUACUGCUUGGUUUUUUACUGGGUACAUUUUAUCAUUUAUUAGCGCUGAAGAGCCAACAUAUUUGUAGAUUUUUAAUAUCUCAUGAUUCUGCCUCCAAGGAUGUUUAAAAUCUAGUUGGGAAGACAAACUUCAUCAAGAGUAAAUGCAGUGGCAUGCUAAGUACCCAAAUAGGAGUGUAUGCAGAGGAUGAAAGGUUAAGAUUAUGCUCUGGCAUCUAACAUAUGAUUCUGUAGUAUGAAUGUAAUCAGUGUAUGUUAGUACAAAUGUCUAUCCACAGGCUAACCCCACUCCAUGAAUCAAUAGAAGAAGCUAUGACCUUUUGCUGAAAUAUCAGUUACUGAACAGGCCACUUUGCCUCUAAAUUACCUCUGAUAAUUCUAGAGAUUUUACCAUAUUUCUAAACUUUGUUUAUAACUCUGAGAAGAUAUUUAUGUAAAGUAUAUGUAUUUGAAUGCAGAAUUUAAAUAAGGCUCUACCUCAAAGACCUUUGCACAGUUUAUUGGUGUCAUAUUAUACAAUAUUUCAAUUGUGAAUUCACACAGAAAACAUUAAAUUAUAAUGUUUGACUAUUAUAUAUGUGUAUGCAUUUUACUGGCUCAAAACUACCUACUUCUUUCUCAGGCAUCAAAAGCAUUUUGAGCAGGAGAGUAUUACUAGAGCUUUGCCACCUCUCCAUUUUCGCCUUGGUGCUCAUCUUAAUGGCUAAUGCACCCCCAAACAUGGAAAUAUCACCAAAAAAAUACUUAAUAGUCCACCAAAAGGCAAGACUGCCCUUAGAAAUUCUAGCCUGGUUUGGAGAUACUAACUGCUCUCAGAGAAAGUAGCUUUGUGACAUGUCAUGAACCCAUGUUUGCAAUCAAAGAUGAUAAAAUAGAUUCUUAUUUUUCCCCCACCCCCGAAAAUGUUCAAUAAUGUCCCACGUAAAACCUGCUACAAAUGGCAGCUUAUACAUAGCAAUGGUAAAAUCAUCAUCUGGAUUUAGGAAUUGCUCUUGUCAUGCCCCCAAGUUUC
rnacentral:sRNA from 1 species